AUGAAAGAAAAUUGUACAUUAUUAUGUGCCAUUAGCAGCUUGUUUCAUUAUUAUAAUUGUGAAGAGAUAGGUUUUUAUUGCUCAAUAAAUGCAAAUGCGCCAUUAAGCCUUAAUAUGGCAAAAAGAUAGUAUGCGUCAAUGUUUUAAAUACGAAACAAUAAUUACUUUUCAAUAAUUUUCAACAUUUUUAUCCUAAACUGACCCCCUUGCAACUCAUCCCCUACAAUCCAUCACACUCGCGACAGCCACACAUGAGAAUGUGAGGAAAAUCCGCAUACAUGCUCUAUAGAUAGAAACCACAGGUCGUCGACAGCGCGCCCGGCCACAGUUGUGCAUUUUCCGCAACAAAGGGGGAACACACACAAACCCGGAAACCCUCGCUCUAGCUCUACGCUCGCCUUGUUGUCUCUCGGGUGUUCGAGACAGAAUGCAUCCCUGCCUGCCAUCAGACAUCGCGAGUCAUUGACCUCCGCAGACUCCAGACAGAACAUUCAGAAGUUUCCCUCUCCCGGGGUGUCCCUCGCAUUUUUUUCCGGAUUGUAUUUCAUUUGUCCAUUCUCGCUUCUCAAUGUGUCACACAGCCACAGCGUCGACGGGUCGUCCCUCCUCAUUUUUCCGAAUAGAGUAAAUGUGCAACGAUUUGUUUUCAAACCGUGUGACGCGUUGCUGCACUGCGAUUGCAUACAUUUAGGGGCGAGCACACGUGCGCUGCACUGUGAGUCCGCUAGAGUUCUAGUUGGCCAUGAGAACGGUCAUUUUGAAAUUAUUCUAAAACUGCUAUCAAGCAGAUGAUGUCACGCAGAUUGCAUAAUUUAAGGCGUUUUUUCUCCAUUGGACUUGCAAUCUAAAGAGGGAAAUGGUAAAAAAUAGAAUCUAAUCGCAAAAUGGGACCCGGCGCCGCGCAGUAAAAAUAACACACUGCACAAACACACACCGCCGGACGGGUGGUAAUGUUUAAUGCCUUUUUGUACACCUUUUUACACUCCCUCCGCUGUGGUUAUCAGUAACAAGCAGUACCAACAGCAACAGCAGGGAGAGCAAGGUCAACCCAAAGCAGAAGCCCGUGUGCAUUCCUUGUGUACAUGGCACUGGCUUCUCUUUAUCACCUCUCCAUACACAGCAUGUGGGGAAAUGUAGCGCGACUGUGGCUGCGGGGCUCCGAUGAUGGAUGGGCCUAGUGCCUGCUGUUAGUUUUGUGCGACUGGCCGCGUAAAGUGAAAAUAUAAACGCGCUCUUUCUGCUUCCGCGGGGCCGGUAAAUUUGCUCAUUAUCAUCCAAAUCUCAACCAGCUGGACCUUCAACGGAAACGGUGUUACAAAAACAUGAAGCCAGAAUCAUCAACUGGCCUAUCAAUACUGCCCUUCUACCUCUUCAAUUGUACCAAAAAUACGUAACCCAUGCGAUUGAAGUCGAACGCGCGUCGUCUUAUGUCGUCAGAGCCUAAAUUUCGCCUUGCACACGCAGCAGCAGCAGUUCGAUCGUGCACAGACGCUAAUGGGCCAAACAAACACGCUGCAAUUAUCAAUCAAACGCUACCCAGAUAUAGUUAUGCUUAGGAGGAGCGUUUGGGUUGGGUUUUGGGUUUGAUUGAGCAAGCGUGAAACCGACCGAUUCCCAAACAUCUUACACCCUUUGAAACCCUGAAGUCUCCCCAUACUCCCAUCAAUUGACGUCGUCGUCUUCGUCGUCAUCGUCUUCCCUCAAACCGAAUCAGUGCCCUACUACUGCUGCGCAAAUACAACAUCAUAACCCACAGAAUGUAAAUGCCCCCUCACCAAUGUUUUGACCCUGAAAUUAUCUAAUCACACACACACACACACACACUCUUCCCUGCGCCCGCUGUGUCCGUGCUUAAGUGUCCAUCAAACUUCUGCAAUCUUUGGACAUUGGGAUGAACCAAGGAGAGGAUAGGCCAACGGGCAGUGAAGAGGUUGGGUGCAUACAGGUCGAAAGCAGUACUUGAAGCGAAAAACUGGGAAACUUCAAUUAAUUGAAGUAUCGGAACCCACUCGAACUUAACAAUCUGCAUCCUGGCUGUCCGUCUGUCUCUGCCUGUGUUUGUGUUGAUCCGAAUUCCCCGAGGGGGUGACAGCUCCGACACGAGUUUGGGACGUCAAAUGAAAGCUCCCAGUCCUUGCCAUAUAGAACACGUGUAUGGGAGCCCCUCCCCAGUGUGUGUGUGUGUCGUCUAGAGGAAAAAACCUUGUAAGGUUAUUGACAUUACUUCCGAAACCGUGCACACACACUCACAUCGUCCCGCGUCCGUUCCGUCCAUCAUGUGUUUGGUGGUGGCCCCUUAUUCCUACGGGAUACAAACACAGCAGAGCAGCGCGACACGACGACGACUACCACCACCACACAAAGCCGCUGUAUAUGACACGGAGGGCGCGCACCGGGGAUGAUGACAGCAGUAAUAGUAGCGCUGGCCAGUUCUACUACUACUAAUACUAAUACUACUCCACUACCUCUAUUACUGUGGCGUAAAUGUAGCGCGCUAUAAAUGCUAUAAUACAGUGUUUUUGCUGCGGUCUGGAGUGAAACAAAAUACAAGCGCAAGCGUGUCUCUUCUCUCUA